UCCAUUGUGGUGUUGUGGUUUGACUGUCGGACUAUGACUCCGGAGAACAGGGUUCGAAUCCUGGCUCAGCCAUGGAA